AUGACGAUAUACUUUCAAAAACAAAGAGCGAGAAAAUAUGGCUGUAUAGUCAGAUCAGAAAUCAAAACUAAAACUUACUGAAACACGUUUUUUUGGAUAGUCUUGAUAACAUAUUUCUGAAAUCAGUUUAUACAAACGAACAAACAUAUCAGGGGAUUCAGUAGUGGUUGUGUCGUUGUGUCAUAGAAUAGAAAUGGUGGUGUGCAAGGGACCAAUGAAAUAGCUAAUGGGAUAAGGAUAAGGACAAAAAAGUGACAUUGACAACUACUAUUUUAUUUUUGUUGUGAUUUCUAAAUUUCUUCAGUUCUAUAUUACAUUAGUCGGAACUGAUAACAUUUUAUAUCAGUAAAUAAAUCGAUUUUUGGUAAUUUUCCUUAAUUAAAUACGUUGAAGUUUUAAGUCAGUUCAUAUUAGACUAAAGGCAAAGGCUGAUGCUGAAGUAUGGACACAUAAACAUAGGUGUAGUAACAAGAUGGCAUCGAUGUCUCCAUCUGAAAGAAGAUUGCAGAAGGAAUUAUUGUCCCUGA